UACGUAGGCAGCGAGCGUUGUUCGGAGUUACUGGGCGUAAAGGGUGUGUAGGCGGUCCCUUAAGUUUGGUGUGAAAUCUCCCGGCUCAACUGGGAGGGUGCGCCGGAUACUGAGGGGCUAGAGUGCGGGAAGGGAAAGUGGAAUUCCUGGUGUAGCGGUGAAAUGCGUAGAUAUCAGGAGGAACACCGGUGGUGCAAACGGCUUUCUGGACCGUAACUGACGCUGAGACACGAAAGCGUGGGGAGCGAACAGG
rnacentral:rRNA from 1 species